rnacentral:rRNA from 1 species
CUUAGUGGCGGACGGGUGAGUAACGCGUGGGUAACCUGCCUUAUACAGGGGGAUAACACUUAGAAAUAGGUGCUAAUACCGCAUAAGCGCACGGGGCUGCAUGGCCCAGUGUGAAAAACUCCGGUGGUAUAAGAUGGACCCGCGUCUGAUUAGCUUGUUGGCGGGGUAACGGCCCACCAAGGCGACGAUCAGUAGCCGGCCUGAGAGGGUGGACGGCCACAUUGGGACUGAGACACGGCCCAAACUCCUACGGGAGGCAGCAG